UGGGUAAUCUUGUGAAACUUCAUCGUGAUGGGGAUAGAGCAUUGCAAUUAUUGUUCUUCAACGAGGAAUCCCUAGUAAGCAUGAGUCAUCAGCUCGUGCUGAUUACGUCCCUGCCCUUUGUACACACCGCCCGUCGCUACUACCGAUUGAAUGGCUUAGUGAGACCCUCGGAUCGAUAAGUGGAAACCUUCACGGGUAUCUACUUGUUGAGAAGUUGGUCAAACUUGGUCAUUUAGAGGAAGUAAAAGUCGUAACAAGGUAGCCGUAGGUGAACCUGCGGAAGGAUCAUU
rnacentral:rRNA from 1 species